rnacentral:rRNA from 2 species
AUGAAGAACGUAGCGAAAUGCGAUACUUGGUGUGAAUUGCAGAAUCCCGUGAACCAUCGAGUCUUUGAACGCAAGUUGCGCCCGAGGCCAUUAGGCCGAGGGCACGUCUGCAUGGGCGUCACGC